UCCAUUGAAGAAGCUGUGGUUUCGCUUACACUCAUCGGCUCAUAGAAAGAGUACAUUAUCUCUCUUAUGGUUCUCAUAGUAUAUCACUCUACUACUUGUACUCAGUUACCAUCUAGGAAUCUUAUAAUUAAUAUCCUAUUUGUGGCUAUAUAUUGUUAAUUUGUUAUAUUCUUUUUUUCUCUUUAUUAGGUAAAGGCAGAUACAUUUUAUAUGAAGACGUGAAGUCCUGCCCAAGUGAAGAUGUGCACGUUCUUUGGUCGAUACUUGUAGAAUCCCAUGCACCUUCCACUUCCACCCAAACAGUGAAUGUAUGUAUGGGGGAAGACGAAUUGAGGUCUUCGCCCAUAAAUCCAUUGUAAACAUUUUUAUAUGAGGACAAAUUGAAUCCACUGACAUUCCUUCAAUGAGAUAUAUAGUAUUGAUUCCUGGAAUACAUGUCUCUAAUACUCGUUUUCUCUAUAAUUUAAGGAAAAUUAACUUUUUGUGAG
rnacentral:misc_RNA from 1 species